GACGGUAUCGGAGGGGGUAAUUUUCAAAGAGUUUAGCGCAGCGGAUUAAAAAAUACUCAGAGAGCGUAAAGCGUAAUAGGUCACAGUUAAAAUGAUUUUAGCCCUUUUUAACAAAAAUAAUUUUAUUUCAGAAAAUUAGCCAAACAGUUGAUGUGCGUUAGGAAAUGAGUGUAGGGAAUAGAAAAAUCACACGAGUAUUUUUAUACUGGUUCGAUUCAACAGAAUCUACGUCCAGUCGUUAAUCACUACAAAGAGUGAUUAACAGUUCCACUAAAAAACAGUUUUACAAAUUACAAGAUAAAGAACAGAAUAUAGAACGAAAAGAACCACUCUACCAACUUGAAGAGAACCGCUCCGGC
rnacentral:lncRNA from 1 species